AGACUGGGGUUGAGAAAUAUCAGCCAUGAUUGAAUAGUGGAACUGAAUCAACGGGCCGAAUGGCCUAAUUCUGCUCCUUUCCCUUUACGGUCCUAUUUGGCCAAUUGAGCCUGUUCCGCUGUUCUGUAAGAUUGUAGCUGGGCUGAUUCCGACUUCAACUCCUUUCCUUCCAAUCCCCUGGGACCCUGUCUUUGCAUUUCUAACCUCAACUGAAACUUCUGAUUUCUGUCAUCUCCUUUCCCAGGGAUUUAUAAAAUUUGAAGGCAGCAAGAAUUUAUUUUCCCGGCUUCGAUAUCUUUCCAGCUGCAGACUCCAGCAGGAGUUUUGAAAAUAGUUGGGUUCUUUGAGAGGUGGAUAACCUGUAACUCCUCACCUGACAGUAAUCUGGGACCACCUUCAUCACACAGACUGCAGGGGUUCAAGGAGAUCAAACAUCAUCUUCUCCACAGCCGACUGGACAUUGUUCAUGAAAGGGCUGGGGAGCGGAGUGAGCUGAUCUACUCUUAUAGAGAGCCAGCACCGGCAAGAUAUCAGCUUGAUGACCUUCACUGUACUCACUCGAUGACAAGUAUGCAUUUUCUUAGACCACAACUGCACAUCAUACUCCCGUACAACUGCCGUAAGACAUCCUUGC